CAAAUAGCAUUCAUGUCCCUUAAUACCUAAUAUCUAUACAAACAUAAUACUCCACAUAUUCAAGACAUCAUAAGGGAUUAAACAACGAAGAUGAAAACAGAGUGUCUACACAUAUUGAAAACCAAAUCAAAUACACAAAUAAACUAGCUCAAAAGGUACAAAUGCAUUUUUUAAACCCCUGCUCAGUUACAAAUCUCGACUUGAAUAAGACAACUUCAUGUUCAUCCAUUCCCGUACAUUAGGAGGUGAAGUAUAUACCUGGAUUUCAAAACAAACAGAAAUUGAUGGUCUAGCAGCAGAGCAGAAGCAGCAGCAAUAUCAGCUUAUAAACAAUACGAAAAUUAGCUUUGAACCAGAUUUAAAUCAGCAAAAAUGUUAAGCGGAGACCCAGUAAUCACAAACACUACCCACAACUUGAACCAAACUCUCGAAGUUCAACCAAAAUCAGAGCAUUUCAAUCAGAGAGAGUAUGCAAAAUGUUUCAGCAAUUGGAGAACUUCAGAAAUUAAAAGAGAAGGCAAUAAAACAGUAUUUUCGUCUGAUUUAUAACCAUUUUGUGAUUUUUCUGAAUUUUUAGCUCUCCAAGUCCUGCCUUGUAAGGCAAGAAUGAGAUGCCUUUAUACGCAAGGCCAUAGGGCAACCCUAAGAUUUUAUUUAUUUCAAUUCUACCCUUUUCCCGUUUUUAUUUUCCUACUUAGUCCCUCAUUUAUAAUCUGUUAUGUUUCCUUUUCUCCAGGUAGAUACCUGAUUGCUGAACUCGAAUUGCGUUCCCUGAAACUUUGAAUUAUGUUCCUUUGUUCUCCAGGUGGGCUCCUGAUUUCUAAAACUUGAACUGUAUUCCCUUGUUCUUCAGGCGAGCUCUUGACUACUAACUUGAAAUGCAUUCCCUUGUUCUCCAAGUGGGCUUCUGACCGCUGACUUGAAAUGUAUUCCAUUAUUCUCCAGGCGAGCUCUUGACUACUGAAACUUGAAUGUAUUCCUUUGUUCUCCAGGUGGACUCCUGAAUGCUGACUUGAAAUGUAUUCCCUUGUUCUCUAGACAGGCUCCUGACUGGUGACUUGAAAUAUAUUCCCUUGUUCUCCAGGCAUGCUUAUGAUUGCUGAAACUUGAAUGUAUUCCCUUGUUCUCCAAGCGGGCUCCUGACUGCUGACUUGAAAUAUAUUCCCUUGUUCUCCAGGAGGGCUCCUAACAGCUGACUUGAAAUGUAUUCCCUUGUUCACCAGGUGGGCUCCAGAUUACCGAAACUCAAACUAUAAUCCCUUGUUCUCCAGGCGGACUCCUGACUGCAGAAACUUGAAUGUAUUCCCUUGUUCUCUAGGCGGACUCCUGAUUGCUGAACUUGAAAUGUAUUCCCUUGUUCUCCAGGUGGGCUCCUGACUGCUGGCUUUAAAUAUAUUCCCUUGUUCUCCAGGUGGGCUCCUGAUUGCUGAAACUUGAAUGUAUUUCUUUGUUCUUCGGGUGGGCUCCUGAAUGCUGAAACUUGAAUAUAUUCCCUUGUUCUCCAGGCGGGCUCCUAACUUUAACAAAAAUAGAUAAAAUAAAGAAAAAGUUUUGCCCCAGUUUGGUAGCUGGGCACAUAUGUGAUUGUAAAAUAAACUACGUUACCUAAUAUCAGUAAGAAUUUGAAAGCUAAAACUUCAAUUGUACUCCCUUAUUCUCCAGGUGGGCUCCUGACUGCUGAAACUUGAAUGUAUUACCUUGUUCUCCAUGUGGGCUCUUGAUUGCUGAACUUGAAAUGUAUUCCCUUGUUCUCCAGGUGGGCUCCUGACUGCUGAACUUGAAAUGUAUUCCCUUGUUUUCCAGGUGGGCUCCUGACUGUUGGCUUGAAAUAUAUUUUCUUGUUCUCCAGGUGGGCUCCUGAUUGCUGAAAAUUGGAUGUAUUUACUUGUUCUCCAGGUGGGCUCCUGAUUUCUGAAACUUGAAUGUAUUCCCUUGUUCUCCCAGGGGCUCCUGACUGCUAAAACUUGAAUGUAUUCCCUUAUUCUCCAGGUGGGCUCUUGACUGCUGAAACUUGAAUGUAUUUCCUUGUUGUCCAGGUGGGCUCCUGACUGUUGAACUUGAAAUGUAUUCCUUUAUUCUCCAGGUGGGCUCCUGACUGCUGACUUGAAAUGUAUUCCCUUGUUCUCCAGGCAGAUUCCUGAUUACUGAAACUUGAAUGUAUUCCCUUGUUCUCCAGGCGGGCUCCUGAUUGCUGAAACUUGAAUGUAUUCCAUUGUUCUCCAGGCGGGCUCCUGAUUGCUGAAACUGGAAAUGUAUUCCCGUGUUCUCCAGGUGCGCUCCUGACUGCUGACUUGAAAUGUAUUUCCUUGUUCUCCAUUUGGGCUCCUAAUUUCAACAAAAAUAAACAAAACCAAGAAAACUUCUGUUCUAGUUUGGUAUCUAGGAACAUAGGUGAGCGUUAAACUAAAUCAUUCUACCAACUAUUAUUAAGAAUUUGAAAGCUAAGUUCUAUUAUCCAGAGAGGUCUUGACAACUCUUAAUGGUCAAUUAUAUAUCUAAGUUGUAACUUCUAAAAGUAUUACUUUCGCUAAGUCUUGUUAUCUAAUAGGGUCAUAAACUACAUCCUAUUAUCCAGGAAGGUCCUAAAAAUCAAAAUGACACUUUUAAGACUGAAUUAUCCAGAAUUUUGCAACAUCUUGUGAUCUAAUAGAAAUCCUAAAACUAGAUCCUAUUAUUAAGGGGGGGCCUGAAAACUCCGAAUUGAAUCCUGUCUUAAACAUGCAAACUUUGAAACCAACUUACAUUCUUCUAUGCUAUUCAUGAUUUGUUUUGAAAUUUAGCUAAGCCAUGUUUUCUAGGAAGGUCCUGAGAGUUUACGGUCAAACCUGCUUGGUGUUUGCUCUUUCCUUGCGGAGAGUUCCUCUGAGACAAACGAAAUAUUCUGCCCAUAUUUCAAUCAAAGAAAUAUCCUGUUAGUUUAAAAUAGUGGUUAGUUGAUGGCGUUCUUGCUGAAGGUAUCUCCGGUGCCAUGUUUUGUUUUGACCUGCUUCCUCGAACCGGCCCUGAACCGCUUGACCUUCUGACUGACUUUCAAACCCCAUGACCUUGACGACCCAUGUUUUCUAUACAUAUACUAUUUUUUUACACCUCUGAACCAUUUAUAUGAACCUUUGCAUCUCCUACGGCAUUACCAAGUCAUUCUACCGAUGAAACUUUCGGUGAUUUCUUGUAUCUCAUUUCACAUUAUGCUAUCUUUGGUAUGUUCUGGCCACACUGUGCUUUGUAAUUUUGGAAGCUGGCAAUGAGCUUUGAAAUCCUUUCUUAUUUCCUAAGAAUAAAACUGAUAUUGAGAUAUCUUAGAGAAACAAACCCCAAAAGAAAUAAAAUGCAAUGACCUUGAGAGUUAAGGAUAAAUAAAAUCCAAAACUGGACGAGCUACUAAAGGGAAAAGGGAAAGAUACUUAUCUGAGUGGAACAACUGGUACCAUUGAUCAUGACAUGCAUGUACGAUUAAUCAUCCCAAUCUGUCCAACCGAUCAACUUUCAGUUUUCCUACUUUAUUUCCCCAGAAUUACAUAACCUGAUUUCUUUACCCAAACCCUAACCUUGUUCAUCCUACGGUGUCGUGAAUGUUUUUCAUCCACAGACCUCUCCCAUUUGUUCAUAUGUCAACUAUUUUUCGCGGUAAGGUGCCCGUGAGGGUUAUUACCGAUAAGACUCCUUGAUUUUUUAUUCCUCUCAACUCACGUCGCCUUACGCUGCCCGUGAGGGUUUUCACCAAUAAGACUCUCUCAUUUUCCAUUACUUUCCUGCUUGGACCGGAGUGUUGCCCAUGAUAUGAAUUACCUCUUCUUGCUCGACCUGGCAUUUCUUCAAGAUCAGAAGGUCUUUCUUUGGACCGUAAUGUGGGUUUUUGGAUAUGGUUAGAAAGAAAGGGUAUUAAAGGCUCAAAACAAUUCAGAUGGGUUUAAAAAUACAACUUUUGGAAUCAGAUUUCCUACAACGACCGCAAGUUCUACCCCAGUUUCCUUACUUGGGGACUUUUGAAUUCUUGCUUUGAUGAGACCGAACCGUGAGACUGCCUACGUAUCCUUUAAAGGAAUCAGGUCGAACGUAGUUCAUGACAUAAAAAAUUACUUUGUUAUUGUGACUUUCUUUUUCCUCUCUCUUUUCUUUCUCUUUUCUCUUCCUUCUUUCUCUUUUUGUUGUUUUGUUGUUCCUUUUUCUUUACUUUUCUGCUCUUUUUUCCCUUUUUUUCUUUUCUCUUUUUUUCAUUCUUUUUCCUCUGUCUUUUCAUUAUUUUUCUUUUCUUUUUAUAUUACUUUUCUUUCACGCUUGGGUUUCUGAUCUUUACUAAUGAUUCCAAAAGAGGGGUAUGGAAGAAAAUAAAUAAGGCUCAAAGGAGUAAGAAAGGAUAAAGUGUUUAGAUAGCAGAACAAAAUGCCUUCGUCAUUCCAAUCUCCAAAACAUGCCGAGUACAAGCAAAUACAAUUAAACCAAAGAAAAUUAUACAUAAUAUCUCUUGACUGCAUCAGAAUUGAUGGCUAUUUCAACACACUUGCCUUCUAUGUCUGUCAACAUUAACACACUUACCUUCUAUGUCUAUCAAAUAUAAAGCACCAUUGGACAACACUCUCGCCACGAUGUGGCCCCUGCCAAUUUGGGGCGAAUUUGCCUUUGGACUCAACCUGAUAUGGAAGUAUACGUCUCAACACUUACUGACUCACUUCAAACUUUUGUGGACGUACCUUCUUAUUAUAUGCUCUUAUCAUUCUUUGUUGAUACAAUUGUCCAUGACGCACCGCUGCCAAUCUUUCCCAUCGAUUAAAUUCAAUUGUUCUAAUCAGGUUUUGACCCGCUCAUCAUCAAUCUGUGCUUAAUCACCACACUCAAUUUCUUGUAUUUAGUAUUUCAAAAUUAGAUUGGCAUUUAAGACUAGGCCAAGGAUUCCUCAUGCAUGUCAUGUCAUUCAAACCAGCAUAAAAAGAACUGUCCAAGAAAGAAAACAAAAUGAAACUAUCUGGAGUGAAGAAGAAGGGGAAUUUCAUCUCAUUGAAAUUGAAAGAUAACUAGGUUUAAAACAUCCAAACGGACGGAACAUAGAAUCUGAAUCACACCCUGGAAUAAUUCGGGCGAUCAAAAGAAAAUCAAAGCCCACUACCAAAACUCUCUAAGAGUAGAAAGAGAAGUAGCUUCCUAAUUAUUGAUCUUCACAUUCGGCCUGACAAAAUGCACCUCUUCGUCACCAGAACCUUUCCCAAUUUCUACUGUGUUCACUUCAUCAUAUAGACUUUGGACCCUCUCAAAUCAACUCCUCAUCGAAGACAAUCCAAGUUUUUGAACUGCUGACACCGGAUGCUUUACUGUCCCUGACUUGACAAAAGUUCUGAAGAGAUAUGGGAUAGGCCUAGAGAGCGUCCAUUCUUUCUUUUCCAACUUUAUAGCCUUCUACACAUCAUCCCCUGUAGGCUUAAACCCCAAACCAAAUGUACCCAGAUUUUUACGUAAACAUAUUGGCUGCACGAUAACUUGCAAAGAUGCGCCCAGACCUUUACCCCGGCACAAAACCAUACAUCAACAUCUCAUUAACUACCAUGCAGAUCAAAGUGAUAGCCUCGGCUUUGGAAUGUAUUUUCCUUCAAAAAUCCUUUCGACGGACAUCAUUUUGGAAGUUUGAUAAGCUGAAGGUCCUUUAUCAUCUCUGGCCUCAAUAAAUGGAACAGAUAAAUCUUCAUGAAAAGAUAAAUCCUCUUCCACACGCACCACUACCUCUUGUUUGUCCCACUCAAAUUUUAAUAUUUGAUGUAAGAACGAUGGCACUACUUUAGCUGCAUGUAUCCAGGGCCUACCCAACAACAAAUUAUACGGGGCAACCACGUGUAACACCUGAAAUUCCACACUAGAACCAACUAGCCUUAUCACUAAUUCAAGUGUUAUACCUCCAGCAGAACCUUUUCUUUUCUCAUUAAAACCCCGAACACCUACACCGUUCACGUGGAUUCCUUCAGUACGGAUCAUCAACUUUUGCAAAGUGGACAAAGGGAAAAUAUUUACACUGGAUCCAUCAUCAACCAACACCCUGGUGACAAAAUAAUCUUCGCACUUCACUGUGAUACAAAGAGCUCGAUUGUGUUUUGUGCCCUCUAUAGGAAGCUCAUUGUCCGCAAAGUGGUCCUACUUACUUUGAAGAUCCUGCUAACAAUCUUUUCUAAUUGACUUACUAUGAUGUUAUCAGGAACAUGUGCCUCUUUUAGAAUCUUCAUUAUGGCCCCGCGAUGUUCAUCUAAUUGUGUCAACAAAGAUAACAAAGAAAUAUUAGCUGGGGUUUUCCAUAAUUUUUCAACAAUGGAAUAGUCUUUCACUUUCAUCUUUCCUAAGAACGCUUCGACCUCCUCCUCGGUAACUGAUUUCCUUACUGGCAUUUGGCUACCCUUGAAGAGCUUGGCCUUCCUUAGUUCGUUAGAGGUAAGACAUCCUCCAAAAUGAUUCGAUCCUACAAUCUCACCCAAUUCUUCCUCCCCUUCUUUUCAUUUGUGUGUCAUUAUUGCUCGUUUGCAGUUCCCAUAGACAUCCUUUGUCUCAUCCAUUGGCAACUGAUUCAUUGAUUUAAUAACAACAGGGGUAAAAGGAUACCCUUUCACAACUACAACAGGCUUUCUUGGCAUCCCUAAGACUACCAACUUAGACUUUUUACGACUUGCCCCGACACAAUUCGAGUACCCUUUGGCAAACAUCAGACGUUUUCUAGAUACUUCAUUUUGCUCCAUAACCUUAGCGGGUUUUUCGAUUUCAAUGGGAGGCCCAAAAUGUGGAGUGCACCAGUAUGGAUCCGAGGUCUUGAAUGUUGGUUUUGUACCAUAGUAUUGGGCAUCAGAACCUUUGAACAAGGUUUCACUAGAAAAUAGAAGGAUGUUGGCAUGGGGAGGGGAUGCAAGGGCGGGAGUAGUUAAUGACACGCUUGUAUUGGCGUGUGGAGCAUGAAAAGUCUGGGUCAAGGUGCCAGCAUAGUUGUGGAGAGGGAUAAAGCUGGGGCCUGUUAGUAGGAGAGUGCAACGGCAUUGGAAGUCUGGGGUUGUGAUAGUAUUCGGCGAAAGCAAGACUAUUGAUGCAGUUGGUGGGGAAUAUGGAUGGGUGCCCACUAAUCCAAGCCUGGUACAUCUCCGCUAUCUGACGUUUCAACCUUCGGCCCUCUUCUUUCAACUUAAAUUCUGACUCGACAACACCUAUGUCCCAUCCCUUUCUAGUCAUGGCUUUCUAGUUGUUUGACCUAGCGUGCAUGGAUGACUCACCGAAUUCCAUAGCUAACCACCUGCCUGGACUCAAUACAUUGAUAACAACCUUGUUAGCGAUUAGGGCUAUAACAGACUACUAACCGCACUUUUAGGGAAUGAAUGCACCUAAGCAGUUAAUCGUUUCUAUUAUGCAUUUGCUCGAUUGCUUGCGUCAUCCCUGCUUUCCCUUACUUCUAUUUGCAACUUCCUUUUCUUUUUAUUUUCUCUCUCUUUAAUUCAUGAAUUUGCUUUCUCUUUGUUUUUUAUUCCCGUUCCUCUUUUUCAUUAUUUUUUCUCUCAGUUUCUUAUUUUCUCUCUUUCUUUACUUCUCCUUUCGUGUUUUUCCUCUAUUGUUUUUCCUCUUUUUUCCUUUUUUUGGGUUACAGUCGAAUUCUAUGGAUAUUUCCUUCAUAUCAUGACCCCAUAUAAAUCAGACCAAGCGUAGUUCUUACAUAUAAGUUUAGAAACAAAAUAUUUUGGGAGUUACAAUUUUCAUAAAAUAUUUUUGAUUACAACUACCAAACUAACGGACUAACAGACUCCGACUCAAAACUAACAGACUUUGACAAAAAAGGAAAAACAAUAGACUCAAUAGAUAACGAUAGAAUUAAAUAAAAGAAAAUACAAACUCGGGUGACAAUCACGAAUACAUUAAUGCCUCUAAAGCUCCUGGGGACUGCGGGAUACCAUUCGGUCUCGCCGCAGGCCUGCGUGCUAAAUCCCCUUGGAGGUGGUGGAGGUCUUCUAUCACUCGACGAACGAAGGUCAUUGUAGUGGAAAAAAAUAUGGAUCUCAUCAUAUUUUCACAACUGCUACACUAUACUAUGAUGUAAUCAGGGAACCUUUGGACCCUCUCUCUAAUAACACCCUUUUCUUGCAACAAUCACCCGAUCUGCUGCGCUCUGGCUUUUAAAGUUUGUUCGGCUACCCGAUUUAGUUCUUGAAACAGAUGCAGAUCCAUCUCUAACUGUGCUAUUGCUAUGUAGCAGUGCUCUCUUUCAACCUUGAAUUCCUUUUCCUGCUUAGCCAUUUUGUUUUCAAAAGUGAUGACCCUCUUAUUCAAUCCUACAACCUCGUCGUCGCACCUUUCUUUCAAUUGCUCAAUCGUGCGUACUCGUUCUUCUGCAUUUUUGGCCAGUUGCUUUCGGGCCCUAGAUAACUCACCCUCUUUUCUGUUUAGUAGAAACCGUACUCCCCUACUUUCCGCCUCAGGUUUUCUAUGAGCUUUUCGUCCCUUAUACUUCGGGUGGGAUUUUCUGUCGCUAUUUUCAUUUUCUGAAUCUGGGCUCGAAGAUUUCAUUUUCUUUGGCUAGUCUUCUUUUUUCUCCCUUGUCUACCACGGCUUGUAAACCAUUCUCGAAUUGAAGGUCUUUGGCUUGUUUUUCCAACUUCCCGGUAUUCGUUUUCCUUGUCCAACUAGGCCCACUGCACCUAUGCUCCGUCGGUGAACUGUUGAACUUGGGGUAUCUUUGCAGGGCUUUCGGGUUCCUGAUGAAUUCAAGAUUUUUACCAUACCAAGAAGGGUAACCGGGCUCUAACUCUCCUCUAGAUAAAUCUCAUACUUGGGUUUUAGGUUCCAAGAAUCUACACUAAUGCCAAAUCCGGCGCAUUCUUUCUUUUGGAAAAACAGAUUUUGGUUCUAUCUUAAUGACCUGUUGACUCAAAUCCUCAUCGUGUGCGAUGGUUUGAUAUUGGCCUAGCUGACGUAGGACUCUAUGCAGAGCAUAAGGCUGGAUACUCCGAAGACCCAUCAAUUGUAGAAAACACUUGUCAGCCGACAUAUAGAUUACUUCACCAAUCGAAAGCCACCCGAACAUUCAUUCGAUUUUGUUUGUGGUCAAGGAUCUUACGUGGGCAUACCAUGCCUGUGUACCCUCCGGAAACUCAUAACCCUCUACCCGUUUUUCAUGUUUUUCGAUGCAUUCGAGACCAACUAUACACAGUUCAGAUAUCUCGGGCGAUGGCAAAGGUGUUUUUCCAUCCACAGUUGUAACAACAUAUUGCACCCUUCAAAGAACUUUCUUCCUUCCCGAUAAUGGGUCAGCGCUCGGUAAAUUUCUGCCAAGAUCAUCGGCACUAUGGUCCCAUUAUCCUUUUUCAUCAUGAAGUCAGCUAUCCCUACGAGUCCCAAAUCUAUAUUCUCGCCUUUCUUGGGGCAAACUAAAACACCCAAGAACGUUAUUAUAAAAGCUAAUCCUCUCCGAGUUUCCAACUUGUCAUGGUUUCCUGCAUGAGUAAGACCGGUAUUUGGUGUCUCGAAGCCAUGGGGAUUUCCGUAUCAUCGGUAAAAGAAAUAGAAGGUACAGAAUCCCUUGGCCAAAUUUCCAUCUCGGAUGUCCCGACUGAUGCUUAACAAAUCCAAAAAUUUGAAGGGGGUUACUGUCCUAAGUGCUACUGGGUACUGGUUUCCAAGAUUCCCUUCGAAACCGACGUAGCCUGCUAUCUCUUCCAGGGUAGGAGUUAAUUCGAAGUCAGCAAAGUAGAACACAUUCUGUGUUGGUUCCCAGAAUGGUAUCAGUGCCUCAAAUAUUUCCUUUCUCGGCUUAACUUUCAAGAGCCCGGUAAGAGAACCGAAAGCCUUUGUCACAACCUUCCUGUUGUUGUCACUCAAAUCAUGCCACAACAUAUGUAGCUCCAAAGGGAUCUCUUCACGAACUGAGAAAGGUUCAUUUUGAAUUGUGCUUAUCAUGCACAUUUAUUAAGGUGAUUUCAAUCAAAAGCAAACCAUGACUUAUUUGAUUUAAUGAAACAAAAACGACCAUUUUUAUUUAUUUUUAUGAAAUGAAAUGACCAUUUUUCAAAAUUUUCAGAAUAUCUGGCUUUUGCAAUACAGCCUUUUGGCACAUCUAAACAAAGAUUUUAAGGAUGUGUCGGCUAACCGGCCAAAUCCAUGAAAAUUGACUAAAGGUGGUUGUUUUCGCGAAACAGCCUCCCAACGUCCUUUUGAGGCACGUUAGGCUACUUUUGACAAGAACGACAUUACCUCAAUUAUUCACAGCAAAAAUUAUAUUUUUGUCCUUCUGGGUUAUUUUUGCAAAAAGAAAAGUUAGACCCGAUGAGGGUUGCCUACGUAUCUCACACCCUGCGAGAAUCAAACCGGCGUAGUUCGGGUAAAUAACAUAAAACCAAUUAUUUUUUAAAACAAAACCUCUUUUUUCUUUUUUUCUUUUUAUUUUCCUCAAAACUCGGCAGAGUUUCAGUACAAUAUGGACAUUGGAUUCUUUAUUCAAAACUCACUUAAACCUCACAAUGCUAUUUUCUUUUAUCUCUUUUUUCCUUAUUUUUUCCUUUUUUUUCAAGUUUCUCCUAUCAACCAAAAGCCGGUCAGCAUGCAAGCAAAUAAAUGCAACAAAUAGCACGUAAAAUAUGCGUCAGAAUGUCUAGCAUUUUGGGUACGCCUAUCCUAGACGGACCCAACCCGUAUGUUGAGUCCCCUAAUUCAAAUGCACGUGAUGCAACAAAUCGCUCCUACUAGGGAUCUAGUAUGAGACUGAGUUAUUCUAGGUUCCUAACAACCUGGGUUAAUUGUUCUAGACCUGGUUUACCCGAGCGGACAACUCGAGCCGAGGGGGAGCAGCGUACCGGGAGUACAGAAGCUUCGCUGGAUUUGCAACGUGUUCAAACCUCGUUCUAAAUUUGGAAUUUGACUCUAACAAAAAAGAAGUCACACGAAGUGCACACUCCUUCAUGAUUUAGAAAACACAGAGAGAGGUGGGAUUCACAACAAUUUAGAUACAAUUCACCAAUAUCAAAACAGUAAAAAGUAUCAUUUAGCACAUUAGGCCUAAACAUUUAAAUGAAACCAAAUAAUAAAUAAAGACAAAUAUAAUAAUUAUUCUAAGCCCGAAUUUUUAAACCCUGAACUAGAAGUUAUGGAUUCUGGUCUCCAGCAGAGUCGCCAGAGCCGUCACACCUCCUUUUUACACUAUCACGAUUAUAUCAGGCGAGUCAGAUGUUAAAACCAACGAAACAUCGCAAAGAGACUAAGUAAUAGGCUACACCACACAUCCACAGAACACGAGAUAAUCAAGGGAAAAUGGUGACAUAAACAACUAUUAUGGAAGGCAGGACCAAAAGCAGUAGGUUAACCCAAAGAUGAUCUUUGUAACUGAAUAAAAUUGAUAGGCGGCAUUCAUUUUAAAUCAAAACCUUGGUGUCAAGGUUGAUAAUGAUAAAAUAACCCGGACAAAUGCAAACCAACACCAGCAAUUUACUGCCAGUGCAUGCUAGAGUAUGAGAAAUCGUCAUGUGAUGACACAAAUGACUAACAUUAAGAAAUUAAUGACUAUAAUCCCUGAGGUUCCUUCCUAAUCAGUUAAUUUCCCUUUCAUAUUCUAACAAACAAACUCAACUAUGACGAUUAGCACUCCUAAAAAAUUCUCAUUUCUCAAAAUGCUAGCAGAAAAACAAAAACUACUGAAACGACAAGGACAAAUGAACUAUUCUUAAAUUUUGUUAGUUCAUAGAAGUCGUAAAGUAUUUGGUCAUGUGUUUAAUUUCAAGCCAUAAAACAUAUUCACACGGAUUAAAGCCUAAUACCAUGACUUCAUUUAUUCAAACGAAGUGCCAACAACGCAGAAUUUGCACUCAAGGACCGGUGCAAACCUCCUGCUUAAACAAUGCAGGACAAGAGAGAUUUUUAGCAGAGAUAGCAGUCUAAACAAAUGAUGACUACACUUUGCUACUACCAAAAGAUAUCCCAGCAACUCGAAAAGGACCUUUAGCUGAAACACUGCUAAAAUAAGUUUCAAGAUGUUUAGCUUAAACAGUAAGUCCAAGUAGUAACACCUAGGUCUUCAAACAAUUACUAAUUUCAAACACUUCCACUACCUUUCUUGCUUGAGAAAAUUCUAAGUAAAAAGUUAUGAAUAAUUUGAUGUGAGCUCCAACUUAAGAAGAUUAAGAGGAAGAGUCCAGGAAAUACCAAUUACGUAAGAAAAUUGUUCUCAAUUCAAAAUUCAUUUAACGACUGAAUAUUUAUAGCAGCAGCACACAGAGUGUCCAAUAUCCAAAUAGCAUUCAUGUCCCUUAAUACCUAAUAUCUAUACUAACAUAACACUCCACAUCUUCAAGACAUCAUAUGGGAUUAAACAACGUAGAUGAAAAAACAGUGUUUAUACAUAUUGAAAACCAAAUCAAAUACACAAAUCAACUAGCUCAAAAGGUAAAAAUGCAUUGUUUAAACCCCUGCUCAGUUACAAAUCUCAACUUGAAUAAGCAAAAUUCAUGUUCAUCCAUUCCCAUACAUUAGGAGGUGAAGUAUAUACCUCGAUUUUAAAACAAACAUAAAUUGAUGGUCUAGCAGCAGAGCAACAAAGUCAGCUCAGAAACAACAUGGAAAAUCAGUUUUGAACCAAAUUUAAAUCAGUAGAAAUGGUAAGCGAGACCCAGUAAUCAGAAACACUACCCAAAACAUGAACCAAACUCUCGAAGUUCAACCAAAAUCAGAGCAUUUCAAUCAGAGAGAGUAGGAAAAAUAUUUCAGUAAUUGAAAAACUUCAGAAAUCAAAAGAGAAUGCAACGAAAUAGUAUUUUCGUCUGAUUUUUAACCAUUUUAUGAUUUUUCUAAAUUAUUAGCUCUCCAAGUCUUGCCUUGAAAGGCAAGAAUGAGAUGCCUUUAUAGGCAAGGCCAUAGGGCAACCCUCAGAUUUUAUUUCUUUCAAUUGUACCCUUUUUCAAUUUUUAUUUUUGCUACUUAGCCCCCCAUGUAGUGCCUUGUUAACCAAGCUAAAAUUUGAAAUUUAAAUGCAGACCCCUACUAGAAACUUUCCUUUUUUGUUACUCUGAGAUUUCCCAACCUAGAUUGCCCAAAUUAACCUUUUAACCUCUAAAAAUUACCCUAAAAACUAUCGUGGGUCAAAUUGCCCAGACUAAUGGAUCUGCAUAACCAAACUCAAUCCCUACCCCAUUCUCCUUUUGGCCUUAUGAAUUUCAGAAACCCAAUCUAGCCCUAGCCAUUAACAAAAGUUUGACGGGCUAAUCAAAAAUUUUCCAAAAAGAACCAAAAAACUUUAUAGAUGAAGCAAGAACAAAAGAAAAUACGAAAUAAAAUUAUUAAACCAAAUAAGUUAAAUUUGUUAUUAACUGAUCAUGUAGAAGAUGACCACAUAGCAAAGAAAAGAGAAACAAAAUAGAAAAAGUGAUAAAAACAUCUUAAUCAAAAAGGAAAUAAAAUUGCAAGAAUAAUGAUAAGAUAUUGGACAAUACCUAAAGAGACCGGACGGGCUUAAACUUGAAUUAAUUCUUCAAACUUUCAAAUCUUGAUUCACUCUGAGGUUAAGCAUGUGCUUUCUCACAAAAACCCUUGAACAACCACAAAAUGAACCAAAAAUCUUGACGAACACUUCAAUUGGAAAGCUUCGGAUUUUUAAGGUCAGACUAGAUUUAAGAUUCGAGGAUUUUCGAGGUUAUUCGAGGGAAACCCACAUGGUAUUUGGGAUGGGGAGGCCUGGUGCUCACCUGGUGUUAUUUUGGGGUUGAACGGAAGCGGUGCCGCCACCAGAGAAAUUGUGGCGGCACUAGGGUUUACGAUUUAAAAUUAAAUUUGAAGGAUUUGGAAGGGUUUCGGGGUAAGCUGGUUAUAGAAUGGGUAUGAGGAGGUUGAGGUGGGCUUGUUGUGUAACUUUUGUGGCAAUUGGGCACUCGUCGCCGUCGUGAGGCGAUUUUUGGCGGCUGUGGAUGGUGGCACUACAUAGGGUAGUCUAGAGACGAGAUUGAGGGGGUAGGGGGUGUUUGGACAUUUUUAUACUUCCCAUGGGAUCAGUUCUCUACUGUUGAUCUGAUCGAGAUCGAACGGCUCAGAACCAAG
rnacentral:lncRNA from 1 species